rnacentral:tRNA from 1 species
CGGGUCGUAGCUCAAGGGUGGAGCACGGUCAAAGACCGAGGAGCUGGUUCGAAUCCAGCCGACCCGA